rnacentral:lncRNA from 1 species
GUGUCCCUCCAAGUCUGUUGUUGCUGUCCAUCCCCAGGCCUUGGGCCCCAUAGACACUAAACCUCAUGCCCUAAAGAUAGGAAGAAAGACCCUCUGUACAGAGUUAUCCUUCACCCCUGGAGCACUGAAGCUCAGGGUGAUACUAGAGUGAGGAUCCCACCAGUUUUGCCUGGCUUCCUCCAUCACCAGAGGCUUAAAAAGUAGUAGUUUAUGGACAGUGGCUUACUCUCUCUAAGCCUGAUACAGGUGAAUGAGCGGUAAGGCUUUGGUAAAACUGAGGGACAGAGGUCCUUAUUUAUGCUUCUUGAUAUUUUACUUUUGUUCCUUUUCCCUAACCUCUCCCUUUUCUCCCCACUUCUCCAGAAGGCAUAACCUUCUCUCCACACCCCCUACCCCCACCCCAGUCCUAGGCUCCUUUCCCCUCCAACAAGACCUUCAUUAGCUUAUGAUAUUUGCUGCCGAGAUGUUAUAACAAGGACUCAUUCGUGUAUAUAAGCUAUUUCUUGAUCCAUUUAAAAGGAAUUGUACAUUGUGUAG